UCCCCUACCUCAACAGUCUUCAGACUGUCCAGAAUGCCCCAGGAGGCUGCCAGUGUCUCAGGGCCCACGUGAGUGCACUCAUCAAGGCGUCUGACCCUGAAACCAGGGGUGAAGAGCAACCUUUCCCAAACCGCAUGAUGGCUCACCUAAAGGAAACUGGGCUGCUGUUCCCAGGAGAGGAAAAACAUCAGGCAGAACAAUAGAAGCCCAUGUCAACAGACGGCAGGUGGAUGGUGUGAAGAGAAUUCUCAUUCUGCUGGGCGGAUCUAGGCUCACUUUUCACCUCUGCAACAUACAAGUGAUGCUGAUGUGGCACCAAGGCUGUUGGGAUCUGGAAGUAAAUUGUCACAUGGGGAUGUACUUUGGCCAGAAUUCAGUCCUCCUCUCCAUAACUCUGUCCUCCUUCCAUCUAUAUCUAGGUUAUAUCAGCCCUCCCCCAUUGUACAUGGGCACCGCCAUGAAGCACCCGCUCAAGCCCAGUGGCAUGCAGAUGAAGCAUUUGGGGUUCAUGUCCUGCCACUCAGCCUGUCUCCCUCCCUCCCACCCACCCACCUUCCCAUGGGCAGCAGCACACAUUACGUUCUGCUAGGUUGCCAUGUUUUCUAACACACUCUCUUACUCUGGAUGCCCAGGUGUUGGCCAUGGGAGAGGCAUUGUUGGCCCACUUACCUGGCUCCCUCUGAUUCAUAGGGACACCCUGCCUCAUGUUCUUCAGCAUGAGAGUCAGGAUGCAAUGCAAGACCACUGCACUUAAAUAUUUGUGUUCUCAUCCCGGCUCAAAAACGAACUAGAUGGGUGAUUUUCGGACUGCCCGUGGGUCAAUUUCUUCCUCUGUAUUUGGUCACAUCUUCUUCAAACUGUAAGGUCCCUUCAUGUUCUAGUGCUCAUCCCGUCUGAGCAGCCACUACAUUAGUUUCAAGUUUUUCCUCUGAAAAUUCAAGAGAAUAAAGCUAUGCCUUUAAACAAUUUCCCGAGAGUAGACAUAAAGAGCUAGAAAAGUCUGAAACCCAGAUCCUCCACUAAGUAGGCAUGUGAGUUAGGGCAAGUUAUUAACAUCUCUGCGACUCACUUUUCCUCGCCUUUAAAAUGGGGCUACAGGAUGUCAUGAAGAUUAAGUGGGUUAACGCUUGAAGCCUGCCCAGGGCAAAGUUCCACAUCAGCGAUUGCUGUUUCUGCUGUUCUAGACUGUAAUGCAUAAAACAGAGAAAUGUGUUGUAUUUUCGAAGCGCAUAUCUGUCAAGUACUUGCCAGCUGGGAGGAACUCAUGUCUCCUGAAGGAGCAGGUCUCGUUUUUGGUAGAUCUAAUUAUUACUAUAAAGUCGUUGUUAUUGCCCUUGAAAUACUUGAAGAUACCAUCAGCCACACUCUUGAACACUCCUGUCCUCUUUAAUUUCUUUCUACUGCUCUGGCCACAAGACCAGUGCUCUAGUACGGAUAUGUUCAGGUUUGUUAAUGCCCUCCUCUGUGCUGUGCGCCUCUAACUUGACCCCAGACGGGAUCUAAACAGUGCUAAACCUAUCACUUCUCUCCAACAUAUAAUCACACUUUACUAGUGCUGCCAGGGACUGGAUUUCCUUUCUAGCGGCCGAGUCAUGUUUUGGGCUCAUAUUUAGCUUCUAGUUAAGAAAGCCCUGAGUUGUUUUCAUAUAAACCAGUGGAAACUCAUUUUAGAAUUCAAGUCCUCUGUCUUGCCUAAUCAAUGUUACCUUCUGGGAUAAAUACAGAAAAUCCUUCAAGUACAGAAUGAGGAAAUCCUGACUCUGGGCAUUUGAUGUCAGUUAAAUAGGUCACAUUUUAUUUAUUUAUAUUUCGAAAAAGAAGUGAGAAGGAACAAGAGACCCUGAGCAUCAGGCCAGAACAGAAUAGUUACAUUGUGAUCUGAGACUCUGUCCUGGUCGUAGGAUCGAGAGCCAUUAAACAGCGCCAACCAGGCUUUUGACCUGAGAAGCCGGGGGCAAUCACUUCCAUGGAAUAAUUUUCAAAUCUGGGCUUAUACCUGUUCAGGAUUUCUUGGUGUUUGUUAGUUGUCAUUGUUGUAUUUGUAGGAAAUGAAAUCUGCCAUUGAAUAGUCUCGGUAACCCCCUCCCAACACUCCAAAUAUGCCUGGAAUAAGUCAAUGAGUUUUCAUCUGGGUAUAUUGCUUUUCCAUAAAUGAAUCUUUGCUUCUCCCCUAGGACAUAAUAUUGGUGCUUGGUAGGAAUGUGCCAAAUAUCGUGUCUUUGUGGCCAACUAUUUUCAUUCAAAAUUGAAUUUCUAUCAUUCAGUAAAAAGGGAGAGAUCUCCAAGUUCAGAUAUUUCUCCCUUCCUAAGAGAACUGAAGUAUAAAGUCAAAUAUUAAUGUUCUUUAUAACAUAUAAAAACAUACCUAAGGAUUUUAUUGUUCAGUCUAUUUAUCUUUGUAUCCAGUACAAUCUAAUGAAAAAUAUAGGUAUACACACAGAGAUUAAAAGUAUCUAUCACAUAGGGGCCCUGGGUGGCUCAGUCAGUUGAGUCUCCAACUCUUGGUUUCUGCUCAGGUCAUGAUCUCACGGUUUGUGGGUUUGGGCCCUGCAUCGGACUCUGCCCUGACAGUGUGGAGCCUGCUUGGGACACUCUCUCUCCCUCUUUCUUUGUCCCUCCUCUGCUCUCUCUCUCUCUCUCUCUCUCAAAAUAAAUAAAUAAACUUAAAAAGAAGUAUCUAUAGUAGAUAUGUGUACAUAGGUAUAUGUAUAUCAACACAUCUAUGUUAGGUUGUGAUAAAAUUCAUUACCUUAUGUUGACGGUUGUGAUAAAAUUCUUUACCCCAUAUUGAUGGCAUUCUUGUACCCACUGGUAAUUUAUUAAAACAAAUGACUUGGAUUCUCUCAGGAGGUGCUACUGGCUCCCAGUGAUCACUGAUUAUUUUUAUAAAGGCUCAUCAAGAGCUUGUUUAGUGUCAGGAAAAGAAAUUCAAAAUAUACAUUGUUAAUGUCAAGCUUCUA